GGAUGUCAGGGAGAUCCGGCUGCAACAUCUGUCACCCCAUUGAUUGCCAGGUUGAGUCAGCUGAUCUGGCUGGUGAGGCAUGUGUCUGCCUCCUCCCUCACCAUUCCACGUGCAUCCCUCCCAAAGCUGUGCUGCUCGGUCGAAGAAGACAACCAUCCCCGAUAGAGGAAGACCAAUCUUCGGUCAAGGGUAUACAAGUAACUGCACUCCCCUUCUAGAACCUCCAAACAAGCUCUCAAGAAAAUAUAUUUAAGUGAACAGUUAAGGACAACAAUAAAGUUGCUUAAUAAUUUCAUUGCAUGCGUGUGAUUGCUCACUAUAGCAAUUAGCAGUAAUUU
rnacentral:snRNA from 1 species